UAUUGGUCCGCGUUAGGGGUAGCAGCGGUAUCCUUUUGUUUUUUUCUUUAAAAAAUAAAAGAUUUAGCGGAUAACCCGACCCUUG
rnacentral:sRNA from 1 species